rnacentral:snRNA from 1 species
AUACUUACCUGGCAGGGGAGCUGUUUCCCAUGAUCACGUCGGUGGGACUCCCAGGACGAGGCGUGUUCAUUGCACUCUGGCUGCGCUGACUCCUGCCAUUUCCCCAAAUGCGGGAAAUUCAACUGCAUAAUUUGUGGUAGUGGGGGACUGCGUUCGUGCUCUCCCCUA